CAGCUAUUGGCGCUGCACUGGUCGAUAGAGCUGGAAGAAAGCCCCUUCUCUUGAUCUCGGGGACAGAAUUGGUCCUAGGAUGCAUAGUAACUGCCCUUUCAUUCUUUCUAAAGGUUCAUGAUCUGGCAGCUGAUGCUGUCCCGAUACUUGCCGUCACCGGCAUUCUGGUAAUAAUCUCACCUUCCUUGAUCUCUUUCUGGCUCUAUCUAGUUGGCAGCCACAAC